CUACGGGGCGCACCAGUGAGGAAUAUUGGACAAUGGGCGAGAGCCUGAUCCAGCCAUGCCGCGUGCAGGAAGACUGCCCUAUGGGUUGUAAACUGCUUUUAUACGGGAAGAAACACCGCUACGUGUAGCGGCUUGACGGUACCGUAAGAAUAAGGAUCGGCUAACUCCGUGCCAGCAGCCGCGGUAAUACGGAGGAUCCAAGCGUUAUCCGGAAUCAUUGGGUUUAAAGGGUCCGUAGGUGGAUAAUUAAGUCAGAGGUGAAAUCCUGCAGCUCAACUGUAGAAUUGCCUUUGAUACUGGUUGUCUUGAGUUAUUAUGAAGUAGUUAGAAUAUGUAGUGUAGCGGUGAAAUGCAUAGAUAUUACAUAGAAUACCAAUUGCGAAGGCAGAUUACUAAUAAUGAACUGACACUGAUGGACGAAAGCGUGGGGGGCGAACAGGAUUAGAUACCCCCGUAGUC
rnacentral:rRNA from 1 species